AGGUUUUGGCAAUAUUAAGCUGGAACGACCUCUAACAUUAUGGAUAAUGUUCAGUUUCUUCAACAAAGAAAUGUCGGUGUAGUGAUUCGUGAUGAGCAUGAUUUCAAUGUUGUUCGUAUUUCUAAUGCAAUGGAAAAGGAAAAUGCAAAGACAAUGUCGAAAGGAAAAGAAAAGGUGUAUUAUGCUUCCAAGGGCAAGGGAAAGGAAAAUGCAUGUCCAGUGGUAUAGUUCUUAAUGGUUUUUGUAAAGUGUUUUUUUUUUUUUUUAAAUUGUUAGUUUUCGUAUGUUUGUAUUUUAAGCCAUAAUUGUGGAGUGUUUUUGAAAAUGCAUGUCCAUUUAUUUAUUUU